rnacentral:rRNA from 1 species
CUCAAACUCUGGUUUAUAUCACUAUUUAAAAUAAUAUUAUAUAAGUAAAAGAAUUGAAUUUUAUCCACAAAAAAGUACUGAGAAGGAAAGUUUCGUUAAUUUUAAAGAAGUUAUUUAUUAUACCUUUUGUAUCAGGGUUUAUCUAAUUUUGACCAGUAUUGUCAAAUCCCGAAAUAAGGUGAUCUAUGUUAAUUAAAGAUGACUGUUUCAUAAUUCUCUUCAAGAUUAAUGUCGGUGUAAAAAAUAUUUCGUACCUUUAUAUCUGGUUGGCAUAAGACUCCUUUAGGGUACUCCACAAGGAAGAUUUUCUAGGGGACGAGCUCUAGAAAAAAUUACAUCAAACCACCGUCAGUGAUAUGAAUAGGCUUAAAAGUUGCCAGGGUGUAAUAACCAGGCUCACUUAGAUAAUAAUUUAAAGUUGAUUAAUUCAACCUAGCCAGUGCUGGUUAUUAAUAUCCAGCAGUUAUAAUGAUAAAAUUAGUAUAAGUAUAAAAAUAUAAUAGAAUUUAUUCUAAAAAUUCUGGAAGGAAUUCGGCAAAACUCGCUUC